rnacentral:rRNA from 1 species
GGGGGGGGGGGGGGGGGGGGGGGGGGGGGGGGGGGGGAGGGCGGGAGGUGUGGGGUGGUGGGUGGGAGGAGUGGCGAACGGGGGAGUAGUACAUAAGCAACGUACCCACGAAGACUGGGAUAAUCUCUGGAAACGGGGACUAGUACCGGAUAGGUAAUCGGAAGGCAUCUUCUGAUUAUUAAAGGUUAAAAACACUGGUGGAUGGGCUUAUGGCGCAUUAGUUAGUUGGUGAGGUAACGGCCCACCAAGACGAUGAUGCGUAGCCGGCCUGAGAGGGUGAACGGCCACAUUGGGACUGAGACACGGCCCAGACUCCUACGGGAGGCAGCAGUAGGGAAUUUUCGGCAAUGGGGGAAACCCUGACCGAGCAACGCCGCGUGAGUGAUGACGGCCUUCGGGUUGUAAAGCUCUGUUGUAAGGGAAGAACGGUAGAUAGAGAAUAUCUAAAUGACGGUACCUUACCAGAAAGCCACGGCUAACUACGUG